rnacentral:rRNA from 1 species
UGGGGAAUAUUGGACAAUGGGCGAAAGCCUGAUCCAGCAACGCCGCGUGAGGGAUGACGGCCUUCGGGUUGUAAACCUCUUUCAGCAGGGACGAAGCGAAAGUGACGGUACCUGCAAAAGAAGCACCGGCCAACUACGUGCCAGCAGCCGCGGUAAUACGUAGGGUGCAAGCGUUGUCCGGAAUUAUUGGGCGUAAAGGGCUCGUAGGCGGUCCAUCGCGUCGGGAGUGAAAAGCUGGGGCUCAACCCCAGUCCUGCUUUCGAUACGGGUGGACUAGAGGUAGGCAGGGGAGAACGGAAUUCCUGGUGUAGCGGUGAAAUGCGCAGAUAUCAGGAGGAACACCGGUGGCGAAGGCGGUUCUCUGGGCCUUACCUGACGCUGAGGAGCGAAAGCGUGGGGAGCAAACA